UGUCACUUAAGGCAUAUGAAUAAAGAAUGAAUAGAUUUUCAGUUUAAUCGUUAGAGCAAGCAUUUGAUUCAAUCUUGCUAUUGAGAAAAAGAAACUUUUAAGUGUAGAGCAAGAAGAAAAAGAAAGAUACACAUCUUAAAGAAAAGAUAAAAAAAAUAGAAACAAUUUUCUAUGGAAGCCUGAGGCAGAGGAAAAUAUAUAUAGGG
rnacentral:lncRNA from 1 species